CCCUUAGAUGUUCUGGGCUGCACGCGCGCUACACUGAUGCGUUCAACGAGUUUUUGACCUUGCCUGACACGGUUGGGUAAUCUUGUUAAAACGCAUCGUGAUGGGGAUAGAUUAUUGCAAUUAUUGAUCUUCAACGAGGAAUUCCUAGUAAGCGUGAGUCAUCAGCUCGUGCUGAUUACGUCCCUGCCCUUUGUACACACCGCCCGUCGCACCUACCGAUUGAAUGGUCCGGUGAAAUCUCGGGACGGCGGCUUGGUCGCUUGCGUCCGACUGCUGAAACUUGAUUAAACCAUAUCAUUUAGAGGAAGGUGAAGUCGUAACA
rnacentral:rRNA from 1 species